GAUGAACGCUGUCUACAGGCUUAACACAUGCAAGUCGAGGGGAAACGACGGGGAAGCUUGCUUCCCCGGGCGUCGACCGGCGCACGGGUGAGUAACGCGUAUCCAACCUGCCUCUGACUGAGGGAUAACCCGUCGAAAGUCGGCCUAAUACCUCAUGGCAUCGUCUGCGGGCAUCCAACGACGAUUAAAGAUUUCAUCGGUCAGGGAUGGGGAUGCGUCUGAUUAGCUUGUUGGCGGGGUAACGGCCCACCAAGGCUACGAUCAGUAGGGGUUCUGAGAGGAAGGUCCCCCACAUUGGAACUGAGACACGGUCCAAACUCCUACGGGAGGCAGCAGUGAGGAAUAGUGGUCAAUGGGCGGGAGCCUGAACCAGCCAAGUAGCGUGCAGGAUGACGGCCCUAUGGGUUGUAAACUGCUUUUAUGCGGGGAUAAAGUGAGGGACGUGUCCUUCAUUGCAGGUACCGCAUGAAUAAGGACCGGCUAAUUCCGUG
rnacentral:rRNA from 1 species